AAAAAAAGUUGAAGGACUAUUUAAAAUAAGAGUGAAAUGUAAAAGACCACAAACUUAAUUUUGUCCAUUUUAAAGAAACAUUAGAUUUCUAUGUUCAUUCCACACAGUUAUACGCAUAUUAAAUCUUAGACACUUUUUAAAGAUUGGACAAUUUUGGUGUUUCAUAUAGUUUUUAUGAUUAUAUCAAUUUCAUCUAUUAAUUUUAGAUCGGACAGUUGAAAUCAGUUACAUCAGACGCAAUAAUUGCAGGAAAUCAUAUUCCACUUUUGCAUAAUAAUAAGAGGAGAAAGUGAGAGAGAUGGAUAGAGUUUGUUUGUUUAAGAUUCUUAGAAAAAUAAAAUAAAUUCUAACAUUUUAGUUAUAUUGAGUGGUGGUUGUGGAGGGUCAUAAAAGUUUUAAACUUUUACUUUUUAUAAGUAUAAUAAAUAAAAAAAUUUAAAAUAGUCUGGUGACUAUAAAUUUCACUCUUAAAGCAAAUAAAUGAGAUAUAUGAGAUUCGAACCAUAAUCCAUACAUAUAUAUUAUAUAAUAAUAUGAUAUCUCUACCAACUGAGCUAAACUUACGAUGACAAAUAUCAAUAAUUUUAGUUAAAUGUCACUAUACCUCUGCUCCCUUAAAGUGUCUUUUGACGUCGGAUUUAACAUUCUUAUUUAAAUAUAGUUUUGAUAUUUUAAGUGUAGGAUUUAUCAAUUAUAUUUAUACUAUUUGUCAAUUACCUUUACUUUUUCAAUAAAACUAAUUAAUAAUAUAUAUACUAUUAUUAUUAUUAAAUUGUCACGUCUAAAAGAGCUAAAAUGGAUCUUCACUCCUAGUAUUUAUUUUUUUGAACAAGCCACUCCUAGUAUUUAUUAAAAUUUACUCUUAUCAGCAUCACAACUUACAAGAAAAUUAUAGCUUAAAAAUAAAAGGGUCUUGUUAACAUGUGCCCUUAAGGCACAUGUUAAGAUAUACCAAAAUAGAAAUUCAAUAUUUAAUAAUACAAGAAAUUUAAUGCUUCAAAAGUCAAAAUACACAAAUUAGCAUUUAAUAAUUUCUAUUUUUGCUUCCUUAACAUGUGCCUUGAGGGCACAAGUUAACAUUCUCCAAAAUAAAAUACUUAAUUUUCAACUAUUGCGGUGUGACACAUGUACACAUACCCCAAGCGCACAUUGAAACUUGACGACCUUUGGUACAAAUAUAUGUGUCACAUUCUUCAUUAGUAGAGCAAUACAUAGGAUCUGUGAUGUCAAAUAAGAUGAUAUUACUAAAAAUGAUGAAUGAUUUUGUAUAUUAUGAAGAAGAAAACUUGAAAUGAGUGUUAAAAAGAACUUACCAUCAUCACUAUCACUAGUUACAAGAACAAUUAGAAAAAGAAAAAUCACAAAAACAACAGUAACGAAUUUGAGAAUUUCAACCAUAUUUUUCCUCAUUUGUAUGUAAUAAGUAAAAACUUGGUUGGUCUCUUUAUAAGUAAAAACCCCAUGAAUUAUUAACUUCAAAUUAGGUGGUUAAUUAGUACUUACAUAGUUUCAAGAAGGUAUUCAUAAGUUAAAGAUUAAUUGUUAAGUGUCUCUUCUUAACUUUCUUUUUCCAUCCUUCGUAUUUUAAUAUAUUUUUAAAGUGUUA
rnacentral:lncRNA from 1 species